ACCCCACACGCACCCGGGGCUUCCCCGCGGACCCAGCCUCCAGCCCCUGCGUGGCUGCCCCAUUAUUUAUUCAUAAAUAUGACCGUGGAAGAAAAUGGGCUCCUGAAACUAUUCCUCUCCUGCCAUCCUUUCUGCUUAUAUAAAUACAGCUGCAGUUCGUGAUGAAGACACAGCCGAGACUGCACGUUGUUAUCAAUAAACCCGCGUCCAAAUCAGACGCAGAGACGUCGUUCUGGGAAGGAGAAGGCCCCUUUCUGGAGAGCUGGAACUGUCCGUGGUCCUUAAAAAGGCACAGAUCUUCGUGUUCCUAGGACAGGCCUGCGUCCUUCGGACUUAACGGAAGCUCACUGGCUUGCUGGGCCAGAAACCGACCGGUGCGCAUCGAUGCCCACCACUCCCUGCGUGUCCGUGGUGCGCCAGGAUCCGCCUUCUCACCCACGGCCACAGGUUGUAUAUUUUUUUAGUGGCUGAACCUUACUGAAAUUCUCUGUACUUAAGACUUUUAUCAGCCAGGGUGAUGGUUAUGCAAUACUACUGUAAUCAUCCAACAGAACUCAAAAAUCAAACUAAUUUUCAAGUUUUAUAGACUUCUUCAGGACUUACUGAAUGGUUAAUGAUAGAUGACUUUUCAGGGUCCACUCGUUUUUUUAAACAAACCUUUCUCUCAUAGAGACCUUAUACAGGGGCCAUAAUGUAAUCUGUUUCUCCCACUUCUUUGAGAGAAAUGCCCUGUGGGGCAUCCUGGCUAUCAAGAAUAAGGCAUUUGAAUAAAGCCAACAAAGUGGCCAGAAUUUCCCCCCUGCUACUAUUUCACAUGUUCUAAAACCUGAAAGAACACACUACACUGUCCUAUCAUUGUCCAGCAGGCACACCUAAAUGUCCACCUCUCCUGGGCAUUUAGUCUGUCUUUUCCCCAUGGUACUGAGGAUCAAAUCCAGGGCCUUCAUACUGAGUUAUAUUCCAACCUUUUUUUUUUUUUUUAACUUUGAGAUAGGCUCCCAAUAAGUUGCCUAGGUUGGGCUUAAUCUUACAACCCUGCCUCCGCCUCCUAGAGUUUUGGGGUCACAGGUGUGCACCUUGGCCUUUCUUAUUACCCAGCUGCCACCCCACACCCAUUUCUCCAAGAGCCUGACCAGCACUGCAUGGGAACAGUCCUCCUCCCUGCCCACUGCCCAGGCUGUUUGCCCCUCACUUCCCACUUGCAGCCUCUCAUCUGAAAAAGAGAUGGACCCUGCCAGAGAGCAAGCUUAGUAACCACACACGUGGAAUGUUAAGUCUUCCGGACAAGAAAAAUCCACAGUAAGUCCGUGGAUGGACAGCUCUCCUUUGAUGGCCUCCUGAGAAACGUUCCAGGAUGCAGUAGUUGCUGGACUGUCCAGGAUAGCCCUGUAAGGUGGGUCCAUCGGGGAUGUCCGUGCUCAGCUUUGGCCUACAAGUCACAAGCAUUCCGAUCUGCUCUUUCCCUACCUCAGUCCAUUUCUGCUUCAGUCUCCUUUUCAUAUUACUCAAGAGUGUCAUCUGCGUUGCCUCAGGAUACGUUUUCUAGGUACCAUAGGCUAAAAAAGUCUCACUUAAAGCCAGUCCUCCUUAAACAGAAAAGCAAAAUAAAAGAGAAGGACUCACAUAUGCAUACUGCCUAUCCUACGCCAACACCUCAACAAAGGCUAGACCUGGAGCGCGUCUCCUUCCAGCGCACAGCCCCUCGCAGUGUGACACAAACCUCGGCUACUUGCCUGUCUUCAUAGGUGGUGAUAUGCAGUCACUAAUUCAACAGGAAAUUACUACUUCAGUUCUUGUUUUCACCAGAAAAACUCUACCAUGGAUACACUUUCACCACACCAAAAAAAUGAGAUAAACACCAUUUUCUUGGUCAUAGAAUGGUUUUGUGUAGGGGCUCUGGCUAGUUCUCCAGAAAUACAGUAAUUGGUAUUAAAGACCGAGACCAGGCUGGCCCUGUAACAAAGGCCUGUGAUCUCAACUACUUAGUAGGCUGAGCCUGGAGGAUCACAAGUUCAAGGCCAGCUGGGGUAGCUUAUGGAGAACCUAUCUCAAACUGAAAGGGGCUGGGGCUGGGGUGCAGAUGUAGAGCGACUGCUUAACCUGCAAAGGCCCUGAGUUUGCUCCCCAGUGCCCAUGAUAGAAGGUGAGCCCAGCCCUCCUCCUGGUCCAGCUUCCUGUGUGCCACACAAGCCUUUCCUCAUACAUUCUGUCCUUGUUCUGAUGCCAUCCAUCCGAGAUUCUCGCCAGAGCUGAGCCAACAACAGUGUCUUGGCUUCUCCAGAAUGCUGAGCAAGAUACCAAGGAGACAUCUGGCUGAAUAAACAUUUCAAAAUAGUUGGAAGAUUUCACAUUUCACCAGCAGUGACGUCAAAUGCUGUCUGCCCUCUGCCCUCUCUCCCCACUGUGAAAUGCAAUAUCUCAAUAUGGUUUCAUUUGCAUUCACCUGUGACAUGGAGGCAAGCCAGUGAGGGUGCAUCACUGGUAAACUGGCUACUCAUCUGCUCUUCUGGAAGAUGUAAUAUUUUUUGCACAUUGUUAGUUACAUUAUCUAUGGUUUUAUUAGAUGCAAAUAUUUAUUUGUAUAUUUAUUAGAUGCAAAUAUUCUAUAUUUGGAAUAAAAGUCCUGUGUUCAGAAACAUAUGAUGGAAUACUUUCUCCAAAUCUGUAGCUUCCCUGUUUCAUUCUCUAAAUAAUUUCAAAGAAAACAAAAGUUUAACUUUUUCUUUUGGGUUAAAGUUUUGUUAUUCUAUCAAAAAAAUCUUUGCCUAAUCAGAAGUUGAGAUUUUUUUCAUGCUUUUGCUCAAAAUCAGCCUCCAUAUUUAGAUUUGUGAUCUACUUUAGCUCUUACUGUGAGUCUGGAUCAAGGAUCUUUUCUUCCAUGUGGAUGCCUAGCUGCUGAAGCGUGAUGUAUUGAAGGUAUUUUUCUCUUCUCCACUGAGUUAUCCUUACAGUGUUUUGAAAAUCUAUUGAUCUUUUAUGUGUGGGUGUAUUUUUAUACUAUUUAUUAUUUUCCAUUGUCCUAUAUUUAUAUCUUUGCACUAAUUCAUACUGCUUUGAUUAAUACAAGUAUAAAUAAACAUUAAAGUUAAAUAACAUAAUUCAUAUAACUGCUCUUUUAAAAAAUCACUUUGACUAUUGAAAAUUGUUUUUGCAUUUUAUAUAUAGUUUAGAAUAACUAUUUUGGUUUCUCUGAGAAAACAUGUUGGGGCUGUAAGUUAUGUUAUAUUUGCUCUAUAAAUUAAUUUAGGAGAAAUUAACAAUAUUGAACCUUCCAAGUUACAAAAAUUCCAUAUCCCUCCAUUAAUUUAUAUCAUCUUUAAUUCUUUUCAGAUAUAUUACAUAGUUUUCAGUGUAGAGAUUCUGCAUUAGACUCACUACAUUGUAAUCCUGUUUUAAGUGCUGUUUUCAAUAUUUCAUUUUCAAAUUGUAUUUGCUAAUGUAUAGAACUAUGACUGAUAUAUAUUGUCAUUGCAUCCUACAAAUUUGUUUGGUGGGCUUAUUACCUUUAUAGAAUUAUGCCUUAUCCAAGAGACUUCAAGGUGUCUUUAGAGAUAGCUAGUUUUAUUUCCUUGUCACCUAAUUCUCUGAGUUUUUCAAAUUUUUUUUUCUUUAUUCACAGUUCUGGUUGGAACUUCCAGUGCUAUAGAGAGUACAAGUCACCAGAGUGGCGAUUUUCCUUGUUUCAAUUUUAGGGAAAAUGGCACACUUUCCUUUCCUGUCUUUAAUAGCUAAACCCAAUGCUAACAUCUCCCUCUUAAUAUUUUUCUCUGCUCUCUUUCCUCUUUACUUUUCCCAUUUUUUCACCUCCUGGAAAAAUUUAGUCCUGAAACAAGACAGUAAAUGAAAUACUUGGCAUGACGCACGGAAUGUCAGCGCUCUGGCUCUGGCGUGGGGGUUCAGGAGCCACAGAAAGUGGCAGGAGAUGGAGCUUCACAUGGAGUUGGAGGGCGUAGGAAGGCUGCAUGUUGGGUGAAAGGCUUGGUUGAAAGUCACAGCCAAAGAGAAGCAAGGCGGAAGGGAAAGGAAGGCCCAACACAAGUGUCAGAGCCCGCAGGAAGUGAGGUCAGCAUUGAUGAGGGCAGAGACACCUGGUGAGAAAUCAGAGUUAAAGUGAAGAGGAUGCGGGUGCAGGCCAAAAAAUCAGAGUUUCCGAAGAUAAAGAGAGCGUCAGUGUGUGGAAGCCUGAAAAUCCACCGCUGAGAAGACUGAGCCCAAGCAAGUGGAGGAGGAAGAAGAGCAAGAGGAGGCAGAGGGACAGAGGAGAACUAAGGCAAAUGCUUCUUGGCCAGGGCGCAUCCACCUGGAAUGUGAGGAUGGAGCCAGGCCACAUCAGAAAGGCACCCGCCGAUGGGCCCAGAGGGGCCCUGUAAUGGAAGCAUGAGGGUGCGUCCCGAUGGCACAGCACCUGCCCAGGAAGAAGAAGCUCAAGGAAAGAGGCGGGAAUUCAUGCGCUAAGGAGGCCAGAGUGGGGAGUCAGAGCCUGGGGAGGGGAAAGAAAGACUGCAGGGAACGCGGUGGGAUAGCAAGAAGAGGCGGGGUAUGUGAUGGAGGACUGGUCAAAGAAGUAAACACAUGUGUUGAGGGUAAUGAAAACUAGUUUCUCUCUAUUGCAAAUGAGUGUCACACAAAGGACUUAUAUCCAGAACACAUAAAGAACUGAAAAACAUCAGGCCCCUCAAAUUCAAAGACCCGCUCCAAAAAUGGGCAUCUCAGAUGAACACACAGUUCUCAGAUGAAGGUACACAAAUAGCAAAUAAAUACGUGGAGAAAUGUUCACUAUCACUGGGCAUUCGAGAAAUGCAAAUUAAAACAGCAUUGAGAUUUCAUCUCACCCUGGAAAGAAUAGCCACCAUCAAGAAAUCAGCUGAUAACAAAUGUUGGCAAGGCUGCAGGGAAAAAGGACACUGCUCCACUGUUGGCGGGAGUGUAGACUGGUGCAGCCACGGUGGAAAUCAGUGUGGAGAUUCCUCAGAAGACUAGGGUUGGAAGUUCCAUUCAGUCCAGCUAUUCCCUCCUGGAUGUUUUCCCAGAAAAACUGAAAAGAUCAUGUCACAGUGAUAUAUAUGCACCCGUGUUCACAGCAGCACAACUUGUAAUAGCUAAAUCUUGGAAACAACCAAGAUGCCCAUCAACCCUGCAGAGUGGAUGAAAAAGAUGUGGUAUUUUAUACAAUGGAAUAUUACUCAGCUAUAAAAAGGAUGCUCUUGAGGCCUUCAUGGGUAAAUGGAGACAACCCGAGACUCUCCUCAUUAGUGAAAUAAAUAAGAAUCACAUUUGUAAAUAUCACAUUGUCUCUUUAGUAUAAAAAAGUAAUGAAAACUGAAGGAGUAAUAAGAUCUGAAAUGUGUAAUAGCUAUUGUAAAAACAAAAGAGAAGGAAAGUGCUCUAAAGGCUAGAACUGCAUGUAUGUGUAAGUGUGUAAGAUAGCCAACAUAUUAGUAAGUUUGUGUUGGAUCACUGAACAGGACGGUUUGCACUCUCAUUACUUGACUGUCCACUUUCUAUGCUUUAAUUUUGCAAUUUGAACAAUUAUUUCUAAGAUGACAAUAUGUAACUUGUCAACUAGUGAUUUCUUAGCCUUUUGUCUGUUUUGCUUUUUUUCUUUCAAUAAAAAAAUGAGUGUCAUAAAUAUGAAAAGAGAAAAUAA